rnacentral:misc_RNA from 1 species
UCUCCGUUGGUGAACCAGCGGAGGGAUCAUUGCUGGAAGCGUCUCACGGCGCACCCAGAUACCCUUUGUGAACCACCUCGUUGCUUUGGGGGCGACCCUGCCGUUCGCGGCGUGGGGCCCCCGGAGCCCAUCAAACCCUGCGUAACUAAGUCGUCGGAGUUUAAACAAAUUAAACAAAACUUUCAACAACGGAUCUCUUGGUUCUGGCAUCGAUGAAGAACGCAGC